AGGUUCUGGCGAGAUUCGAACACCCGUCGCAGGAUCCAGAGUCCCGAAUACUAACCGCUACACUGCGGAACG